rnacentral:lncRNA from 1 species
UGGUUUUGUAGGAAGGAAGUUAAUGGACGAAAACAAAAUAGUAUGCAGAGAAAUUGAUAUACGGGUCUUUCAAGUGAUGAAAUCAACACAGAGAGGGAGAAUGCUACAACUCUUUACAAACAUUAAAAAUAAAAUGGUAGCAUUCAAUGGCCUCGUGGGGGAAUUUCGGUUUUGUUAAAUAAUUUUGGGAGGAUAUUAAAGCUGAGUUCGUUAGAGUUAUGGAAGAGUUUCAUAAUCAUGUGCGGAUGAUUAGAGAGAUAAAUUCUUCUUUCAUAGUGUUAAUUCAUGUUAAGAAUAUGUUAGAAUCAGUGGCGGAGUUAGAUAAAAAAAUUUGGGAUUACCGCUAAGGUAAAAUAAAGAUUAUAAAUAAAAUAUAAAUAAUAUUUUAAAUAAAACAUUAAAGUUAAAAUAAAUACAAAAUUAAUUACUAAAAAUUUAAAUUAUAUGACUUAAAACUACCUUAAAGUAAUGUUUACGCGUUCCGAGUGACUUGAAAUCGUCAAUAAUUGACUCUGAACUAAUGCUUGCACUAAUCUCCCUUUCAAUAUAUACUGUCAUGCUAUCUCCAAGAAACCCAUCAUCCAUCUUGUUUCUCAACUGUCUUAAAUUUUCAUUGCUGAAAAAGACCUCUCAGUUGUGGCCGAGAAACGGGAAGAGUCAUGAUAAGACGAAGUAGUCUAUCAAUCAAGAAGUAAGUUUCAGUCUGUCCAGAUGCAACCAACAUGAACAUAGUUCUUAAAUAGUUGAUAAAUUUUCAAGUUUGAUGCUUGACGAGCAACAAAUAGAAAAUGUUGGAGUUGAAAUUGCAAAUUAUUCUUCUCUUGAUCACUAAAAUCCAUAGGAUACUAUUUUUUCAACUAAAGAACAAAUAGUAUCAAUGCUAAAAGAUUUAUAUCCAUCCUUAGGAGAUAAAGAACAAGAAGAGUUAACAAACUCAUUGCCUGCUCACUGAAUCUGCUAUUCAACUCUUGUAACUGUUUGUCAAUGGGUAGUGAAAAAGAUUUCAACUUUAAAGUAAUGUUGAAUUGUGACUUGAUUCUCUUCAAGACGGGAGCGUCUAAAUCUGUUGUUGAAUGAACAUCAUUAAGAUCAGGAAUCUCAAUACCAUACUUUUCACAAAAGAUACCACUUUAGUAAACAAUAUAUCCCAACCAUUUUCUCUUCAAACCUUGAAUAAGAUGUUUUGUUGAACACGAACCAAGUUCAUAGCAUUAACUACAUCUUGAUUUUUUUUGUAAGGCUUUGACAAAGCAUAUUUGUUUCCCAUGAUUUCUUUCAUCAAGUGCAAAAUAAAUAUAAAAUCAAAUGCCUUCAAGUAAUUGUAACAACUAUCUGCAUCCCACGUGUAGCAUAACUCCCUCUAUCUUUUGCAAAAAAUUUAAAACUAAACAAGUUGCUUCAUACAUGUAUCAAGCUAGAAAUUGAAUCGUAAUGUGAUCCCCAACGAGUAUCUCCAGCUCGUUUCAAUGUACCAACUUGAUUUGCACCUUUACCAGUUACAAUCUCACCAAUCUCUAACAAAUAAGCAAUUUCUUCUAAUUUGGCAGCUUGUAACUCAUCAUGACGCUUUGUAGAAGAAACAAACAACUAUCAUAACAAAGAUCAACUUCUCAAAAAAUUUAUGAACAUGUUUGACUUCUCUUGAUGAUGUAACUAAUGCAAGUUGCAAUCGAUGAGCAAAAACAAUGAACAUAGUAUGCAUAAGGACAAUCCUUCAUAAAGGGGCUUGUAAACCAUUCCAUUCUCCUCUAUAUUGCUAGCACCAUCAUACCCUUGGCCACGAAUGUUAGAAACAUCCAGUUAUGUCGAGAAAGUUAUCACAUAUUGCUUCCUUAAGAGUUAAAGAUUGUGGUGUCUUUAACAUGUGCCACAUCAAAAAAUCUCUCUUGUAUUAACCAACUUUAUCAACAAAUCUUAAUACAAGAGUAAUUUGUCUCUUUUUGACUCAUCAUGAGCUUCAUCAACAACGAUACAAAAUUUGGAAUCACCAAUUUCCUCACGAAUACUCUUUUUCACCCUACUAGAAAGAAUUUGCAAGAGCUCUUUUGAAUUUGAUGUGAAGUAUACUUGCAAUUUUGUGGAGCAUUUUCCAACACAACUUUUGCAACUUCAUCAUUGUAGGAUGCUAAAAGUUUCAAUAACUCAAGAGAAGUUACCUUGAUUUCUUGAUUUUUACUUCGUCUCGUGACCCCUAAAAGCACAAGCUUGUAGUGUUAAAAACCAACGAACAGUGUCAUUGAAGUCUUGAGUCGGUAACGCAUUAUUCAUUCUUGACUUGAACUUUGCACUUGAAUAACAUUUCUAAUAUGACCAUCUUGAUUCAACAAGUCUUGACAAGCUUUCAUUGCAUUGUUGUGUGGUGAGCAAGGAUCCUUCCUAUUGUGUUUAAGAAAGGAACAAUGUUUUCCAUUCCUAACUUUCUUCCAAUUUCUAAACCCAUAGAAUAAAGACAAGUGAUACGGGACCGUCCACUUAGUUUUUUGCUAAAAAGGUACAUGGUAAGCAAUUGCAGCAUCUUCAGAUGGUGAAUAUUCAACCAUGAUGGAAAUAUGCUAAACCAAGUAUGUUGAAACCUUCUCGGGAUGAUCCUCGUUACCGGACAAAGGAUAUUUUUCUAAAUGAAUUUGAUAUGGACCCCAUUUUAGAUAAGCUCUUGUAUUGCAUCCACUUGAUUGGUGGAUAUUGCCAAAUCGGAGGACGCUUUCCAGGAUCGCGUUUCCAAAGAAUUUUCAAACCAUGAUGCUCUUCAAUUGUUGGAUUCUCAAAAACUGUUUCAGAUUCGGAUGUCGGGAUUAUAAUUUCUUCAUCUCUCUCUGCUCUUUCAAUAUUCACAUGCUUUCCUUUUGAAAAAAGAAUCAAUUUUCCUAUUAUUCAUCUUUACCCUUCCUAUAAUAUCAUAUCAGAUCCAAAAAUCAACUUAGAGAACAUUAAAAAUUAAAAGAGAAAAAAAUUAAUAAACUUAAUUAAUCAACUUUAAUCCGUUUUCAAAUACGCGGUAACUUCACUAUUAGAAAUUACGCAGCAACAAUGAUUAAAUAAACCUUAUAUACAAUGUAUAACUAUAUUUGUAAAUUACAGUGUUAUGAAUUGGCUUACAAACCUCAUAUAGAUUAUUUUAACACAUCAAGAAAAGACCUAAAAAUCUCAAAAACACAAAUCAAGCAAUCACUUUAAUUUGUUACUUUUUAUAAAAGAAGAAUGAAUAAAGUUUUUUACCUGUUAGAUGCCGAUCACUUUAAUUUGUUCCGAUUCCAGUGUCGGUAGCAAACCCAUAUGAGAAAGAAAGGAAAGAUAUGAGCUUUUUACCUUAUCUGUAUUUUAACCUAACUUUGAAUGAAAAAGAAAAAAGAAAAAAUAAUUUUAAUUUAAAAUAAGGAUGUUUUAGUAAUUUAAUAUAUAUGAAUUAAAAAAAAUAAAAAGUUGAGGGGUGGCCGUGGCCUUCCCACGUCCCCCCUCAGUUCCGCCACUGGUUAGAAUCAAUUAGUAUUGAUUAUGAUCGAUUAACAAUUAUUAAUUUUAAUUUUAGUAUUCUAUAAGUUGUAAUGAUUAUAAUAUGGAUUGUGUCCAUUCAUAUGUAUAUAAAUAUACAUCCGAUGUGAUCAUAUUUGACGCAUAAAUUACAUAUAGAAAUACACUUUUAAUAUAUAAGGGUUUCAC